AGGGAACAGGCAACACCUCAGCCACUGCAGCAACUGGGGACCAUGAGCCUGCCCUUCCAAAAGCCAGGCUUCCAGGCUCCUGAGGCUGCCAGGCAAAGCCACAGCCCAGCCUGUAACCCUACACCUUAGCACCUCCCUCAUUACAGAUGUACUGCUGUACUGACCUCUCACUCCAGGAUGGUUGGCAGCUGUGCCGCCCUGUGUUUGUGGGUGUCUGGCACAAAGGAACUUGAAGACUUGCUCCAGAAUUCAUCAGGUCCGCUUCCUCAGUGAUCACAGUUAAUGGAGAUACAAACAGGAGACGGGCCACAGAAGUGUUUCCUGCCUGGUGUUGCUCAGGAUGAAGCACUGAAUUAAUAUCUGAUUGCUCAACACACUGGGGUCAUAUUUUUUAUUGUUCAUUUCAGUCUGCUUAAAUGGCGAUUGAUUUGAAAUUUGAAAGCCCAUAUUUCAUGAGCUUUUGUGGGAUACGCUGUUUUCAAAUUUGAUCAAGUAUCGUUAGCCUCACUAAGAUUCUCCUGUCCCUCUCUCCGUGGAUUCCAUCAAGGUUUAGAUGAAAUUCCAUCUUGUUCCUCCCCUACAGUGAGGUGCCAAGACCACCGAGGUCUCUGAG
rnacentral:lncRNA from 1 species